rnacentral:lncRNA from 1 species
CUCACUCCAAGUCACCCUCCACCCAGCAGCCAGAGGGAUCUUUCCGAACAUAAAUUCCCUCUCGCCACCACCUCCCUCCUUCACACCCUGCCCAAGUCCCUUCAGUAGAGAGACCCAGGCCUGGAGACUGUACAAAGCCCUGCAAAGUCUGGUCCCGCCGCCGCACCCUCGGAGCCCAGCGCGGAGAGGGCGCUUAGUGCGUGAGCUACCGUCGUUCCCCGCGACUCAGCCGAGCGGCAUCCGCACACCCUGCUAGCCUAGGAAGCGCAUCGAGGGAGCCCGCUCAAGCUGAAGCGCUGCACGAGCUGUGUCUUCCUUCUCUCCGCCGCGAAUGCGGGCAGGAUGCGAGCAAAAGACCCGGCAAAGAGGGCGCCGAGGGGGCGCAGCCGGGGCGCUGGGCGGACCCAGAGGGGACAUGGAGAGGAACGCGGAAGGGCAUGAUGGUGUGUUUCUGUAGUCCCAGCUACUCGGGAGGCUGAGGCGGGAGGAUCAGUUGAGCCCAGGAGUUCAAGACCAGCCUGGACAACACAGCAGACCCCGUCUUUAUAAAAUAAAUUCAGUAAAAUGG